rnacentral:rRNA from 1 species
GUGAGCCGGCCCCUAAGCCGAGGCCGAAAGGCGUAGGCGAUGGGAACCAGGUUAAUAGUCCUGGGCCUGCUGGGAUGUGACGGAUGGCGCUUGGUCGUUCCCGCUUAUCGGAUUGCGGGGGCGGCGGGCUCCGUUCCAGGAAAUAGCCCCAGCUUCAGACCGUACCCUAAACCGACACAGGUGGACUGGUAGAGGAUACCAAGGCGCUUGAGAGAACUGCGUUGAAGGAACUCGGCAAAAUACUCCCGUAAGUUCGCGAGAAGGGAGCCCUUGCCUUGGGCAACCAGGGUGAGGGGGCACAGAAAUGAGGGUGGCGACUGUUUACUAAAAACACAGGGCUCUGCGAAGCCGCUAAGGCGACGUAUAGGGUCUGACGCCUGCCCGGUGCCGGAAGGUUAAGAGGAGGGGUUCACGCCCUGAAUUGAAGCCCCGGUAAACGGCGGCCGUAACAAUAACGGUCCUAAGGUAGCGAAAUUCCUUGUCGGGUAAGUUCCGACCUGCACGAAUGGCGUAACGACUGCCCUACUGUCUCCAACGCAGACUCAGCGAAAUUGAACUCUCCGUGAAGAUGCGGAGUUCCCGCGGUCAGACGGAAAGACCCCGUGAACCUUUACUACAGCUUCGCAGUGGCGCCAGGAAUGUCUUGUGUAGGAUAGGUGGGAGGCGUGGAAGCGGCGACGCCAGUCGUCGUGGAGCCAGCCUUGAAAUACCACCCUUGACCUUCUUGGCGUCUAACCGCGGCCCGUGAACCCGGGCCCGGGACCCUGCGUGGCGGGUAGUUUGACUGGGGCGGUCGCCUCCCAAAGAGUAACGGAGGCGCGCGAUGGUAGGCUCAGGCCGGUCGGAAAUCGGCUGUUGAGUGCAAUGGCACAAGCCUGCCUGACUGCGACACCGACGGGUGGAGCAGAGACGAAAGUCGGUCAUAGUGAUCCGGUGGUCCCGAGUGGAAGGGCCAUCGCUCAACGGAUAAAAGGUACUCCGGGGAUAACAGGCUGAUACCCCCCAAGAGUCCACAUCGACGGGGGUGUUUGGCACCUCGAUGUCGGCUCAUCACAUCCUGGGGCUGAAGCCGGUCCCAAGGGUAUGGCUGUUCGCCAUUUAAAGUGGUACGCGAGCUGGGUUUAGAACGUCGUGAGACAGUUCGGUCCCUAUCUGCCGUGGGUGUACGAGACUUGAGAGGCGCUGUCCCUAGUACGAGAGGACCGGGAUGGACGCACCUCUGGUGGACCGGUUGUCGCGCCAGCGGCACAGCCGGGUAGCUAUGUGCGGACGG